GCCGGGCACGGUGGCUUGUGCCUGUAAUGCAAGCGCCGGGGAGGCUGAAACUGGUGGAUGGCUUGAGCCUGGGGGUUCUGGGCUGCUGUGCUGAGGGAGCGUCCGCACUAAGGCCGGCAUGGAUAUGGUGGUCCUCGGGGAGCUGGGGGCUACCAGCUCCCCUAAGGAGGGGUGAACCGGCCCAGGUUGGAGACGGAGCAGGUCAAAGCUCCCGUGCCAUCAUCAGCGGGAUGGCGCCUGUAAACAGUCCCUGUAGCACAGCCCGGGUGGGAGAGUGGGACCCAGUUUCCU
rnacentral:SRP_RNA from 1 species